UAACCACUCCCCUAAAAUGUGACCUUGGACUUCGGGGCAAAAUAAUGUCGCCCAUCUGUCUUUGACCCACAUUCUCUGGCUCCUGUCUGCAGGGUUGUACAGGCUGGCGGAUCACUCACCCUCUGACAAGCUCACGUGAACGCACGUAUGGUCGGGUGCAUGUACAGCACACCCAGAGGCAAAUCAAGAAGUAAUUAUAGAACAAGCUUUCUGGCGCCUCAAACACAGUCACACCUCCUCCAAGAGCUGGGAAAAUGGAAAGAAACAGUUACCCCAGCUGUGUCUGGAUACCGACUACAUUGGGAGGCAGAAACCCGACAGUUUGAACUUCGUCUGUGGUCAUAAGGAUGGCAAGGCAAGAGAUGGAAUCAUUUCUUUUGGACACGCUGUUGAACUGCAUUAUCAACCAGACCGACUGAGAGCGUAAGGCCGGAUGCAGCAGGCUCCUUGGAGUUACAGCACAUGCCAGGCCCGGGAGCACAGUGGGAACGAUAUCCAGACUGUUGUAUGUGCAGCAGCAGAACCAGGGAGCUUCUCCACAAAUUGACUGAGCGGGACACAGCAGUCUGGAGAUGGAGCUGGCUGCCGGAAGCUGCCUGGCUCACUUCUGGAGUUAACUGGAGCCCUGAUCAGUACAGGAGAUGCAGGGGUCUGCUACAACUUCUUCAUGCAAAGCCUCACAAAGUGUCCUCCCACCUAACUGGGAUGAGAGAAGGAAAAGGGCAGCAGAGGUGACGAUUAUGAGCUGGCAAUUUUUCAAGAAUCCAUUGGCCAACUCCUUGAGUCUACGAUGAUGCUUCUUACAAGGUAUCAGCUGGUGGUUUGCAGCAGGGGUGGCUGAGCUCAUGCCCUGACACCCAGCAACACUGGUCCAAGAGAAGCCGCAAGGCCGCUGCCUUGGGUCUAACACCUUGGUUGGGGUUAGUUGCCUGAACCCACACUCCUGCUUGCAUAACUCUGGGAAUAACUGUCCUAAUGCAUGUGUUCUAUCGCCCUGCCUCACUGCUCUUCGCUGAAGCUUCUUGUUUACUAUGGAAUCGCUAGGAAUCUAAACACAUCAAGGGACAGUUCUCCCUGCCCCUCAAGGCGUGAGCUGAACUAAGUGGAACCAUACCUUUGCUGUCGUCCCAGACCAACAGGUGGAACCAAUUUAAAACCUCAUGAUCGUGCGAUGCUUUUGCAGAAACUCCCCUGUGUGUUUUAAUAUUCCUCCCAAGAAGGACAUAAUGUUCUUGCCUGUGUUUUGUCUACCAAAGACAGACGUCGCAUUCCGGGGGCGAUGGGUCUAAGCACUUGGCCACUGCUUCCACCAAUCAUGGCACGGCCAUAUGGUGCACCCCUGUGCAGCCCCUGAGAGUCAGGCUUUGCAAGCAAAUUUAAUGACAUGGAACAAUGUGUAUGGUCUGCUGUUAGGUGAAAAGAGCUGCUUACAAAACAAAGUACAGUACGAAAACAAUCAUAAAAAUUAUGCAUGUAUGCAUAGAAAACCAGGGAGCCUAUACUCCAGAAUGUAAACAUUGGUGACAUACUCCGGGCUAUCAACGUGCAAUGGCCCAGCUUGUGUGAGGCACAAGGACAUCUGUUGGCGAGAACAAGCAGUGGCUGACCUCUUGGCUGCCUUUUUCUGAUCAUACGUGGCACCAUGUAGACUGAUAUCAGUCCCGGAGAUUACGGGUUCCAGAAGAUUUGGAAGCAAACGGCAGCCUCACAUAAAUGUCCAGGAGAGAACAGAGGCCAGGCCCACACCUGCCCUCGUCCCCAUCCUCACCUGGAGAGCCAGGGCCCCUGCUGUGAACCAGGUCGUUCUUUUUUCUGCUCACAUUUCCUUAUUACAGGGGUAAGAAAAAUGAAAAGCCUGGGAUUCCAGCUUAUUGCAAGAAAUAUCCAGAAAGGGCACAGCAGGAAUGCCGGCAGCAGCCUGGGUGCCCAGCCUUGCUCCUGAAAGGGCGCGGCCUCAGCCACUUUGUAGCUGGUUCCGGGCGGCUCCGCCUGCGGGGUCGAGAACCCUUCCCGGACCGACCUGGGGCCUGGGGAGUUUGUCUCCAGCGUCUGCGGGGCUGCAGCGCUCAGAGUGCUAAGCGCAGGAAAUGCUGAAGAAGGCACUGCAUAAAUCUAUUGCUGAAAAAUAUUGCCAGUCCACAGGAAUGGCUGAUAAUAAGGAAAUAACAGCAAAGCCUCCUCACGUGCUCCGGUGACCACGAGACCAAGCCAGAUCCUGUGGUCGCAGGGGCUUCAGCCUGCAGCAGGCACAGCAAGCCUACAAAUGAAUUCCACCUGACCGCAAAGGAUAGCUGGAGCCAACAUUCACCUCUAGCUGGAACCUUUGUCCACAGACACAGUCCUGGUGGACAGUAUUCAGAGGCGAGGGCUUCUGCCAGGCACCUUGACCCACGCUAAUCAGAAGUUAACGAAACAACAUUUUGCAGGACUCUCUAUCUCUCUCUCCUUAAAAGCUCUUUUCCCACCCAAAUGGGGGAGACUGAUCUGAGUCUUGUCUCCAGUCUCUUUUUCCGACUGCCUGACAAAUAAAACCUUUUUCUCGGGGAAAACCUGUUGCCUCAGACU